rnacentral:rRNA from 1 species
AAAUGAAUAGACGGGGACCCGCACAAGCAGCGGAGCGUGUGGUUUAAUUCGUUGCUACACGAAGAACCUUACCUAGGUUUGACAUAUAGGUUGUAGGGAACUGAAAAGGGACCGACCCUUCGGGGAGCCUAUACAGGUGUUGCAUGGCUGUCGUCAGCUCGUGUCGUGAGAUGUUCGGUUAAGUCCGCUAACGAGCGCAACCCUCGCCGUAUGUUACAAGUGUCAUACGGGACUGCCGGUAAAAAGUCGGAGGAAGGUGGGGAUGAUGUCAAGUCAGCAUGACCUUUAUAUCUAGGGCUACACACACGCUACAAUGGUCUGUACAAUGGGUAGCCAAGCCGCGAGGCGGAGCCAAUCCUGAAAGCAGGCCUCAGUUCAGAUUGCAGUCUGCAACCCGACUGCAUGAAGCCGGAGUUGCUAGUAACCGCAGGUCAGCAAUACUGCGGUGAAUACGUUCCCGGGUCUUGUACACACCGCCCGU